GAUGAACGCUAGCGGCAGGCCUAAUACAUGCAAGUCGAACGGGAUCCAGAUCAAAGCUUGCUUUGGUUUGGUGAGAGUGGCGCACGGGUGCGUAACGCGUGAGCAACCUACCCUUGUCAGGGGGAUAGCCCGGCGAAAGUCGGAUUAAUACCGCAUGACAUCAUUGAGAGGCAUCUUUCGAUGAUCAAAGAUUUAUCGGACAAGGAUGGGCUCGCGUGACAUUAGCUAGUUGGUAAGGUAACGGCUUACCAAGGCUACGAUGUCUAGGGGCUCUGGGAGGGGAACCCCCCAAAGUGGAACUGAACAACGGACCAGACCCCUACGGGAGGCGGCAGAAAGGAAAAUUGGUCAAUGGACGGAAGUCUGAACCAGCCAGGCCGGGUGAAGGAAGCCGGCCCUAGGGGUUGUAAACUGUUUUUAUACGGGAACAAACGUCGGUACGUGUACCGGUCGGGGGGUACCUAAAAAAUAAGGAUCGGAUAACUCCGU
rnacentral:rRNA from 1 species